UAGGGAAUCUUCGGCAAUGGGGGCAACCCUGACCGAGCAACGCCGCGUGAGUGAAGAGGGUUUUCGGUUCGUAAAGCUCUGUUGUAAGAGAAGAACGUGUGUGAGAGUGGAAAGUUCACACAGUGACGGUAACUUACCAGAAAGGGACGGCUAACUACGUGCCAGCAGCCGCGGUAAUACGUAGGUCCCGAGCGUUGUCCGGAUUUAUUGGGCGUAAAGCGAGCGCAGGCGGUUGAAUAAGUCUGAAGUUAAAGGCAGUGGCUUAACCAUUGUUCGCUUUGGAAACUGUUGACGUUAAGUGCAGAAGGGGAGAGUGGAAUUCCAUGUGUAGCGAUGAAAAGCGUAGAUAUAUGGAGGAACAACGGUGGCGAAAGCGGCUCUCUGGUCUGUAACUGACGCUGAGGAUCGAAAGCGUGGGGAGCAAACAGG
rnacentral:rRNA from 1 species